rnacentral:lncRNA from 1 species
AAGGGAGCUGGAACAGUUCUGGCACUGCUGGCUCACCGUGUCUUCCAUCCACCCUGUGUGCCGUGAGAGUAAACGUCAGAGGCAAGACGCGAAUGCCCUUCAGUGAGUCAUCUCUGGGUGGUCCUGCUCACUGAUUUGGGAUCUAACUAAUCUUUAAGCAGUGUUCUCCUCACCCGUAAUUUUCAAAUCAGAGCCUAAAUCUCACAGACAUGCAGGCAAUGGAACAGCAGCGUCUCUGUCUGCAAGGUAUCUGGUCCUUCGACCUCACCGUGACCCAGUUUCUUCAGGAGAACAUUCCAGAAGCAGAGCAAGGGGCUGCGAACGGUGUGCAAUGCUUCCUGAACCACCUCAUGGCCCUCCAUCCACUUCGUCUGGGUCAUGCUGGCUCUGCGGCCAUGGCAUUUCAGCGUCUCGUCUUCAUCUUCAUCCUAUUUGUAACCAUGGGGCACAUGCUGUAUUUUUUUUUUUUUAAUGCAAGAAAGUGUAAGAUUAGAAACGCCCAUGUUCAGAAGACAGCAAAGAAGGGAGCUUUAACCUGACAGAGAUGGAACAGAGGAGAUCAGAAAGAAUAGACAAUAAUGGCCACUCAUCCUGCUUCCAGUAUGAAGAUUCCCCUACAUCUAGCAUGGACAGAAGUGUUGACAGAGGGAGGAGUUUUGGCAGAACAACAGAAGUCAAGUACGGCAAUGGCAAAGAAAAAGCCAACUACUAAGCCUGUCUGUCUACCACAUUACUUUAUUGGUAAGUUCUUCCUUUUGAAAAGUAACUUAAGGUCUGUGACAGGUUCACAGGUGUAUUGAGUGGGUGGCUCAGUAACUUCUUCCUCAGGCAUAGGUGCCGUCUUCACUCAGGUAUGGUGGGCCACGGACUUUCGUUCUGGCAUUGCAAGGCAGAAGGAGUGGUCAAGGAGUUCCGUCGUGGCUCGGUGGUUAAUGAAUCUGACUAGUGAACCACAAGAUUGCAGGUUCAAUCCCUGGCCUCGCUCAGUGGGUUAAGUAUUCAGCGUUGCCGUGAGCUGUGGUGUAGGUUGCAGGUGCAACUUGGAUCCUGAGUUGCUGUGGCUCUGACAUAGGCCAGUGGCUACAGCUCUGAUUAGACCCCUAGCCUGGGAACCUCCAUAUGCCACUGGUGCACCCCUAGAAAAGGCAAAACAAAAAAACAAAAAAAAGAAGAAGGAGUGGUCAAGAUUACUAAAUACGGUCCUGUCCACUUGGGGUCUAACUGCUCUUAUGGAUUUCCAGGCUUCCAAAUAAACCCAAUCCUAGGGGACA